GGCGGAGUAGCUCAGCUGGUUAGAGCGGCGGAAUCAUAAUCCGUAGGUCGGGGGUUCAAGUCCCUCCUCCGCUACCA
rnacentral:tRNA from 12 species